rnacentral:lncRNA from 1 species
UUGCAUCCAUUUUUCUCUACUUUUUUUACUCCAAUAUGAUUCUUCCUCUCUAUAAGCUUGAUUUAACUGAUUCUUGAGGUUAUUCAUUUGAAUUGUUGAAGGAAGAACUGAAGACUGCUCUUGUUCCAAAGCGAUCUGAAGCUGAGAGAGCCUGUCCUGAGAGUUUAAACAGUUUUUUCUUUUCCAUUUGCCGAGGGCUCUCCUGCAGUAUCUAAGCUUGUCAGAAACUGAAGAUAAAUGGGACGGAUAGGUAUUUGACGUCCAAGCAGUAGAUAUAGUUUCUUUCACAAGAUGUUUAUUUAAAAACCUUUUAUCAAAUCUGAAAUUGCCUCUGUAAACCUCAGUGGAAGACCUUUUCUCUUAUGCACUACAACUUUCUGAAGACCUUUAUCCUGUUCAACCUUUUUCAAAGAAGAGGAAAUAGGUGUACCUUGAAGUUUCUUCCUUGGUUUGUAGGUCUUUUUUCGAAAAUAAGCCUUGCUUGUAGCAGGUUUAGAAGUAGUAGCUUCAGAGAAAGUAGAUUUAUCAAAGAGAAACCCUGAAGAAGGCAAGAGUGCUUUAGCUGUAGGCUUGGUGAUAUUGGUGUCAGUAGAAGCUCCAAAAUUCACUAUAAUACAAAACAUAGACUAAUAGGUCUGAGAUCAGACAUCUGAUUUGGGUGUAAUACCUUUGGAAGAAUACACAGCUGAGUGAAGGAAAGGAGCCUGUGGAAACAAAUUUCUGAAUUUCCAUGGUAACUUGAAGACCUAUGAUCUCCCAAUAUUUCUGAAAGAAAAGACCUGUCAUGCCAUCAGAGCAGGGUGCACUAGAAGGGUUUAUCGAGAAGACAGCCUGUUUAAUCUCUUCAGAAGAAACUGGACUUAUCAAAGACUCAUUCAUACUUGGAGAAACUUUAGGUUCAAAAUCAUGAAAAAGCCAGUCGAAAUUUCCAGGAGAAGAGGUUUUAAAUAAGUCUAUAAAGUAAGCUGUGGCAAUUUCACCUUUAGAAGCUUCUGAUUUUUUUAUUAUUGCCAUUGCAAUCUUUCAAAAUGUCUAUUCUCUUUUGUGUUCUGUUGGCUUAGACAGAAGCAUGGAAAAACUUCGUAUUAUGAGAUCCUUCUUGCAUCCAUUUUUCUCUACUUUUUUUACUCCAAUAUGAUUCUUCCUCUCUAUAAGCUUGAUUUAACUGAUUCUUGAGGUUAUUCAUUUGAAUUGUUGAAGGAAGAACUGAAGACUGCUCUUGUUCCAAAGCGAUCUGAAGCUGAGAGAGCCUGUCCUGAGAGUUUAAACAGUUUUUUCUUUUCCAUUUGCCGAGGGCUCUCCUGCAGUAUCUAAGCUUGUCAGAAACUGAAGAUAA